UAGGGAAUCUUCCGCAAUGGACGCAAGUCUGACGGAGCAACGCCGCGUGAGUGAAGAAGGAUUUCGGUUCGUAAAACUCUGUUGUUAGAGAAGAACAGCGCAUAGAGUAACUGUUAUGCGUGUGACGGUAUCUAACCAGAAAGCCACGGCUAACUACGUGCCAGCAGCCGCGGUAAUACGUAGGUGGCAAGCGUUGUCCGGAUUUAUUGGGCGUAAAGCGAGCGCAGGCGGUCAAUUAAGUCUGAUGUGAAAGCCCCCGGCUCAACCGGGGAGGGUCAUUGGAAACUGGUUGACUUGAGUGCAGAAGAGGAGAGUGGAAAUCCAUGUGUAGCGGUGAAAUGCGUAGAUAUAUGGAGGAACACCAGUGGCGAAGGCGACUCUCUGGUCUGUAACUGACGCUGAGGUUCGAAAGCGUGGGUAGCAAACAGG
rnacentral:rRNA from 1 species